GCUUCGGUAGCUCAGCAGGUAGAGCAGAGGACUGAAAAUCCUCGUGUCGGCGGUUCAACUCCGUCCUGAAGCACCA
rnacentral:tRNA from 1 species